UAGGGAAUCUUCGGCAAUGGGGGCAACCCUGACCGAGCAACGCCGCGUGAGUGAAGAAGGUUUUUCGGAUCGUAAAGCUCUGUUGUAAGUCAAGAACGAGUGUGAGAGUGGAAAGUUCACACUGUGACGGUAGCUUACCAGAAAGGGACGGCUAACUACGUGCCAGCAGCCGCGGUAAUACGUAGGUCCCGAGCGUUGUCCGGAUUUAUUGGGCGUAAAGCGAGCGCAGGCGGUUUGAUAAGUCUGAAGUUAAAGGCUGUGGCUCAACCAUAGUUCGCUUUGGAAACUGUCAAACUUGAGUGCAGAAGGGGAGAGUGGAAUUCCAUGUGUAGCGGUGAAAUGCGUAGAUAUAUGGAGGAACACCGGUGGCGAAAGCGGCUCUCUGGUCUGUAACUGACGCUGAGGCUCGAAAGCGUGGGGAGCGAACAGGAUUAGAUACCCUGGUAGUCCACGCCGUAAACGAUGAGUGCUAGGUGUUGGAUCCUUUCCGGGAUUCAGUGCCGCAGCUAACGCAUUAAGCACUCCGCCUGGGGAGUACGACCGCAAGGUUG
rnacentral:rRNA from 1 species